GAUAAACGCUGGCGGCGUGCCUAAUACAUGCAAGUCGAGCGAACAGACGAGGAGCUUGCUCCUCUGACGUUAGCGGCGGACGGGUGAGUAACACGUGGAUAACCUACCUAUAAGACUGGGAUAACUUCGGGAAACCGGAGCUAAUACCGGAUAACAUGUUGAACCGCAUGGUUCAACAGUGAAAGACGGUCUUGCUGUCACUUAUAGAUGGAUCCGCGCCGCAUUAGCUAGUUGGUAAGGUAACGGCUUACCAAGGCAACGAUGCGUAGCCGACCUGAGAGGGUGAUCGGCCACACUGGAACUGAGACACGGUCCAGACUCCUACGGGAGGCAGCAGUAGGGAAUCUUCCGCAAUGGGCGAAAGCCUGACGGAGCAACGCCGCGUGAGUGAAGAAGGUCUUCGGAUCGUAAAACUCUGUUAUUAGGGAAGAACAAAUGUGUAAGUAACUAUGCACGUCUUGACGGUACCUAAUCAGAAAGCCACGGCUAACUACGUG
rnacentral:rRNA from 1 species